GUCCCAGCAUACGGAAGAGUCCCUGGUGCAUAGUGGGCCCUCAGUAAAUAUUUUUUGAAUUAUUUCAUCCCAUGACUUGCUUGAGCUGUUGAGAAAAGGAGGACAUCUCUCCCGCUGUCCCAGGAACCCAGAGGAUUCAGGGGCUGGAGCUACCGUCUCGCCACCACGUGGAGAGCCUGAGACAGCCAACAGCGUGCAAGCUACAGAGAAAGGAGAGACGUUUGAUUACAUCGUGCCAGCCCUGAAUCUGGCCAUGCCUGAAGCUGGGGCUGCCCUUGGUCUUCUCAGUUGCAGGACCCAAGGACACUUGGAUGCAUUUACAGAGGGAAGACCAUAACAAGGCUUCUAUUCAAAGUGGGGACUGGAUUAGCAGCAUCUAUAUGACCUGGGAGCUUGCUAAAGAUGCAGAAUCUCGGGCCUCACCCCAGACCUGCUGAAUCAGAAGCCGCAUUUUAACAAAAUCCCCAUGUAAUUCAAACACACACUAAAGUUUGAGAAGCUCUGCUGUAAGAACUUCUAAGUGAGAGCGGAGGGCGGUAAUACCAUUCUGAAUAGCUGUCCCUCUUUGUAAAGAAAAAUCGCACCAUUGCUGAAACCAGUAGGAAUGUCAGAUAAGGAAAGUCACUGAAUAGUUCUUUCUACAAACAAUCACCAGGGCCUGUCAUGUGCCUGACACUAUUCUCCGUGCUGGGGAUACAGUAAUGAAAAAAAAAUGAUGAAAAAUCCCUGCCCUUCAGGAUCAAAUAGAGUCUACAACAUGUCAGCUGGUGGUGAAGUAUUACGAAGAAACGUAAAAUGAGACAAGGAGGGGGGACAUUUUGCAAUUUUAAGUAGUAUGCUCAGGAGGUGAUAUUUGUGCAAAGCCCUGAAGGAAAUGAAGAGACGAGCUUUGUGGAUAUAUACCGGAACAGCAUGGCAGGGAAAGGAAACAGCAGACACAAAGCCCUGAGGAGGAAAAAUUACAGCUAACGUACAUACCGAUGAGAAGAAUCCAUUGAUGACUGCUGGGAAAGAGGGGAGAAUUUCUAAAGAUGUACGUGAUAGGUGAGAGAGGAUGAAAUCUAGCCACAAGAGAGGCCAGCCCAAAAGAGGAGCAUGGACAGUUUGAGGGAAAGUGGGGCAUAUGUGCCCAGAUGUGGGUAAACUGGUAAACAAAGUGGUGGGAGCUCCUGGAAGUUUCCUCUGCUGUUUAAGUUUUCUCCAUGAAAUAGGAAUCAAGUUUAUCAGUGAGACAGAGGAAGGGGACAGUAUUAGGAGUAUGAGGAGAGAGGAUAAGGUGUGAAACAGCUGUCCAGGGGAGAGAACAGACUAGAGACACAAGUGCUCGUUAAGCAGCGUGGAUGCCUCCUGUGCGAUGCAUCAGCAUCCUUUGUUUUUCUCCAGCCACGUUCAGCGUCAAGUCUGCAGACAAGGAGAGAGCAGAGCGUUGGAUUUAAACAGGGUCGAGGUUUAGGCAGCCACCCACAACGAAGUGAGAAAGGAACCAGUUUGUUGAAGCUGUCUGCAAGGGAGGGCCUAUAAUGAAAGAUCAUGGAAUUGCGGCUGGAUGAAAAAGACACAAGGAUUCAGACAAAAUAAGGGCCUGUGAAAAAGUAAUAGGAUCGCUGGAUUGCAGGUCCCAGUAAAGCCAAGCAUGCGCUGGGGUCAGGAACCAGAAGAACUAAACUGGGAAGUUAGAGUGGGAUUCAGCAGAGAAUGGGGUUCUUGAAACUGGGAUUAAACGGGGAUAUAAUUAGUGGUGAUUCCAUGGUCCAGGCUGUGCCGUCCAAUGCAAGAGCUACUAACAACAUGGGUCUAUUUAGAUUUUAAUUAAUUAAAAUUCAAUAAAGUUUUAAACCCACUUUUCCAAUUGCACUAGCUACCUUGCAAGAACCCAGUGGCCAUGUGUGGCUAGCGGCUACUCUAUUGGACAGCACGGAUAAAGAGUAUUUCCAUCAACACAGAAAGUCCCGUUGGGCAGCACUGGCGUAGGGUAUGACCACGGGAGUUCGUGGCUCAGGUAAGAUGAUGGACAAGGUCAUUGGAGGGCAUUGGGAUAUCUACACAGGUAGUGAAAUCACCAAGAAUUGGGACAGGAGUAGUUUUGGAGAGAGUGACAGUGAGCCAGGAGCUAAAACCUGCAAGAUUUUGGGGAGGACGGGGUCAGCACUCCAAGUGUUACUGGGAGGAUAUAAAGUUUGGAAUUUUUAGUGAGGAGAUGGCAAAAUCACCUAGAAGGGCCACAAGGGACAAACAGGAGACCUACUCCACAUCUAGGGCUAUGUGUCUAGUGGACUGUGGGAAAGGGCUACAGGGAAGACCAUGUCCUCAGGUGGGAUCCAGUUUCUGUAGGAGGAAGAAGAUGAAGAGAACAUUCAAAGAAGACAGGUGAAGAUACAGGAGAUUGUGCUGAUGGCUGACCACAGGUCCCAGAGUGACAGCAAAAGGGUUUCAGGAGCCAGGGAGCACUAAGUGAUGGGCUCAUGGAAGGGGACAUGCAAAGCUGUGUAGGGACAAAGGUCCAAGACAUGAGGGAUGUCCUGUGAACCUAGGCUCUGUAGGGACUGGUGUCAACAGUGAUAAAGACACAGCGAGACUGAUCCUGAGGGCCCCCAAGCAGGAACCAGGUGAGCUGUGAGUGUUGAGGGUGAAACAGGGCUCUUUCGAGGAGCACAAAGAAUUCUGGAACAUCCUCUUCACUUCCUCUUAAGGGUCAAAGGGACCCUGAGCUUGAGCACCUCUUCGCUGCAGCCAGUGGAGGGGGAAGGCCUGAAGGGGUGGCCUUCCCCAGAGGGCACUGAGCUCCCUCUUGACUCCUUAAAUCCACAACUAGAAAUGCCUUCAAGUUGGAAUUUCCCUGGAGAAGGCAGCUACUGGAAGGAGGAGCCAAGCUCCAGGGCUCCCACACUGGAAACCUAUCUGAGUCCAAAGGCCGACUCUGUCACUUACGACUCUGCCUCCUGGGGCAAGUCUUUUCACUUCUCUGAGUCUCCACCUCCUCAUCUUCAGGCUUUACUUGUACUAUUGCCUCUGACUAGAUAUCUCCGCUCCGUUUUCCAAGCCAGGGGCAUGGUCAUG
ensembl:lncRNA